rnacentral:tRNA from 1 species
GGUUUGUAGCUCAGUGGUAGAGUGCUUACCUAGCAUGUGUGAGGCACUGGAUUCAAUCCUCAGCACCA